rfam:Nomascus leucogenys chromosome 18, whole genome shotgun sequence.
GCCCUGUGAUAAUUAAUUUUAUGUGUCAACCUGACUGGGCCACUGAGUGCCCAGAUAAUUGGUAAAACAUUAUUCUGGGU